GUCCUUUUUUUGCAUACCGAUUAGGGUUCCUUGAGAAUGGCCAGCUUUCCUCUAAUAAAUUAUCAACAGUAUCGGCUGAGGAGGAAGUUUAUUGGAAAGCAAUUGAGGAGUGAGUCUGAUCCACAGGACCCACCUUUUAAAAAAAAAAACCAGGUAUGAUGUUGACUACCUGAAAUCCCAGCAAUGCAGGAGAAGAAAUAAAUAAUUUGGCUGAGCACUCAGCCUGCCUUACUUAGAGAUUCUCAAGUCAGACAA
rnacentral:lncRNA from 1 species